GCAAUUACAAAAGUGGUAACAAUAGAGGAAGAGAAGGAAGAAAGAAAGAUGAUAAAAGCAAUGUCCAAUGCUACAAUUUUCAAAAGCUUGAGCAUUUUACUCGUGAAUGUUGUGCCAACAAGAAUGAUUCACAAGAAGGUAAAGCAACGUUUGCAAGGAAAUCAAAUGAUAAGAGGACACUGUUGAUGGUGAUCACUAAAGUAGGAACAUC
rnacentral:lncRNA from 1 species